rnacentral:rRNA from 1 species
UACGGGGGGGGUAAGCGUUGUUCGGAAUUACUGGGCGUAAAGGGCUCGUAGGCGGCCAACUAAGUCAGACGUGAAAUCCCUCAGCUUAACUGGGGAACUGCGUCUGAUACUGGAUGGCUUGGAUUCGGGAGAGGAAUGCGGAAUUCCGAGGUGUAGCGGUGAAAUGACGUAGAUAUCUGGAGGAACACCGGUGGCGAAGGCGGCAUUCUGGACCGAUAUUGACGCUGAGGAGCGAAAGCCAGGGGAGCAAAGCGGG